rnacentral:rRNA from 1 species
CUCAGGGAGGUAGUGACAAGAAAUAACAACACUGGAGAUUUUGUUUCUAGUGAUUGGAAUGAUGGGAAUUUAAACCCCUUUCAGAGUAACAAUUGGAGGGCAAGUCUGGUGCCAGCAGCCGCGGUAAUUCCAGCUCCAAUAGCGUAUAUUAAAGUUGUUGCAGUUAAAAAGCUCGUAGUUGGAUGUCUGCUGGAAGCAAUCAGUCCGUCCUAUUUGUAGGGUGUGCACUUGAUGAAUUCUGGCAUCUAUGUCCCAAUGAUGUAUUAUUGUAUGAUGUGGCGUAUAUAGGUUAAUCCUAUAUACUACACAUCUAUAAUAUUAUUGGGAUAAUACCGUUACUUUGAGAAAAUUAGAGUGUUUGAAGCAGGCUAAUUGUUGCCUUGAAUACUGCAGCAUGGAAUAACAAUAUAGGAUUUCGGUUCUAUUUUGUUGGUUUCUAGGACUGAAAUAAUGAUUAAUAGGGACAGUUGGGGGCAUUCGUAUUUAACUGUCAGAGGUGAAAUUCUUAGAUUUGUUAAAGACGAACUACUGCGAAAGCAUUUGCCAAAGAUGUUUUCAUUAAUCAAGAACGAAAGUUAGGGGCUCGAAGACGAUCAGAUACCGUCGUAGUCUUAACCAUAAACUAUGCCGACUAGAGAUAGGAAAAUGUCAUUUUUCUGACUU